rnacentral:rRNA from 1 species
GCGCGCGUAGGCGGCUAAUUAAGUCAUAUGUGAAAUCCCCCAGCUUUACUUGGGAAUUGCAUUCGAUACUGGUUAGCUAGAGUGCGCUAGAGGAUGGUAGAAUUCCAGGUGUAGCGGUGAAAUGCGUAGAGAUCUGGAGGAAUACCGAUGGCGAAGGCAGCCUUCUGGCCUAACACUGACGCUGAGGUGCGAAAGCAUGGGGAGCAAACAGGAUUAGAUACCCUGGUAGUCCAUGCCGUAAACGAUGUCUACUAGCCGUUGGGGCCUUUGAGGCUUUAGUGGCGCAGCUAACGCGAUAAGUAGACCGCCUGGGGAGUACGGUCGCAAGACUAAAACUCAAGUGAAUUGACUGCGGCCCGCAGAAGCGGUGGAGCAUGUGGUUU